CAGAACAAUGAUGGUGUUGACUGGCCACAGAGUAGUUUUGUGAGCUGGACCCGACGACGAGCUGGCAUCCCCGGUGACGGUUUUUUUUCGGAACUGGCAAGGAGGCGAGCCAUUCUCUGUCAGAACGUCUCGAGUAAAUGUGUGGUUAGAUUUUUCUUCCCGGUCCGCGUGGCACAGGCCGUAUUGGUACCAAGUUCCUUGCUUCAUAUUUCCUGGUGAGUAUUUCGAUCGUGGGUUCAGGUUAUCUGAUUGGUCUACGAGAUAGAUUCUGACUAAGUUGUUUCUUUGCAGUUACCAGAUACGUGCCACAGACACCCACGCAGCAUCACACCAUGUGUACCUAACUAGAAUUGCCGACAAUUUCAAUCCUGCCCGGUGAAGCGUGCGAUUGCCAGACGCGUGUCACCUGACCCCAACCUCCAAGAAGGUGUCGUUGGUGACCAGAGCCGUCAGCGAGCCACGAGCCGUCCGGAGCUCCUGUCCUGGCCCCGUCCAGCAGUCCAGGUUGGCCGUUGUAUGUUCGUUGAGCGGAUACUGAGGAAUUUUCUUAGGAUUUCCAUUUAUCUUCAGCGGCAUCAGCCUUCUAACGCCGCUGCUGAAUGUAGGAUUGCAAAGGCAGAACCCGGGUGGACUCUAGCGGGUUAAAACCCUUAUUUUAUUUUAUUUUUACUUCGUAGGGAGCCCCGUUAGAACGGGCGGUAGUAUCUAAAUCGCACUUUGAACCUUUUGUAGGCGCUAGGCUAUCAACGUCCUUCGGUUACGGGGCCUUAACGUUAAACUGCUAUCCCAUUGAAGUAAUAUAGAAGUUUCUCUGGGGUUAAUACCAUCUUUCUAUCCCUGUGGCGUGAAACACAGGGGCAGAACCUUUGGUUUCCCCACUAUAAUGUAAUUUCCUUGCAAUACCUUGUAUACUUCAACCCUACAAUUCUAAGAACUUAAUCAGUGGUCUCAUUUAAGUAGCAUCUAAGUUUUCUUGUGGCUAACCCCAUCUUUCUACCCAGUGGCGUGAAACACUGGUGGAAAUAUUGGGUUAUCCACCCCUAAUAUAUAUAACUCUUAGAAUUUCAUCAAGAGACACAUUUUAGGCCUAUUUUAAUUAGAAAAUAUUGUGUGAGGCGGGAUGUUGAUAAAUAAAUAUUAAUAAUUGUACAACAUUCUGAUAUUUUUAUUUCCAACCUCGUUGUCAUUUCGACACCCACUACACAGUGGAAAAUAGGCUUACAUUUGGCGCCCGAGCAGAGUUUAAUCCGUUAGCUUAUAGUCUAAUCUAUCGCUUAGACAGGCCUGAGUCCACCCGGGGGGGGUAAUUAGAAAUUAAUUAGUCUUAUAAUUUCUUGUGUGUGUUUUGCGUGUGUCAUCGUGACGUGCUGACAGAGAAUCACUGCAGAAGGUUUCCUUUUUUUUAAUUUAUUAACUUAAUAAGGCUAUAUUUUUUGUGUGGAUAUUGUGUUAAAAAUUUUAACCUCUUAUUUCAGACAUUUUAUUUUAUUGACUUAACAUGCCUUUUUUUUUGUUGAGAUUGCGUUAAAUUUGUAUAACCUCUUAUUCCAAACGUUAUUCAAAGGAAAACCUUCUGCUGGAAUUUUAUUUAGUUAAUUAUUGAACAAUUAAAUAUUGAACAGUUGGUGAUUGUUUUUAAACAAUUUUGCUGAGACAGUGUUAUUGUCUGUUAAACUUAAACACUCAACUUUUAAUAAUUACAGUUUUGUUUUAUAAAUUUUUUAUAAAAAUAACCAAAUUUUUUUACAAGGUCAACCUUUUAUGAGUUAAUAUAUUGUUUUACACAUCAUUUAACGGUCAGUUAUAACUUAACUUUACUUAAGUUUAAUAUUGUACCUGGACUUACUGAAACAUACUUUAAGGAGGAAGCAUUUAUUUUGAAGAUAUUGUUAUCUAUUGUUCUGCUUUUACAUUGAACGUUGCGUGUUUUACAUAACCAUUUAACUGUCAGUUAUAACUUAACUUUACUUAAGUUUAAUAUUGUACUUAGACUUACUGAAACACACUUUAAUGGGAAAGCAUUUAUUUUUA